CCUACGGGUGGCAGCAGUAGGGAAUAUUGCUCAAUGGGGGAAACCCUGAAGCAGCAACGCCGCGUGGAGGAUGAAGGUUUUAGGAUUGUAAACUCCUUUUGUGAGCGAAGAUAAUGACGGUAUCUCACGAAUAAGCACCGGCUAACGCCGUGCCAGUAGCCGCGGGAAUACGUAGGGUGCAAGCGUUACUCGGUAUCACUGGGCGUAAAGAGUGCGCAGGCGGGCUUGUAAGUCGGAUGUGAAAUCCUGUAGCUUAACUACAGAACUGCAUGUGAGACUAGGAGGCUAGAGUGUGGGAGAGGGAGGUGGAAUUCCUGGUGUAGGGGUAAAAUCCGUAGAGAUCAAGAGGAAUACUCAUUGCGAAGGCGACCUACUGGAACAUUACUGACGCUCAUGCGCGAAAGCGUGGGGAGCAAACAGGAUUAGAUACCCCAGUAGUC
rnacentral:rRNA from 1 species